rnacentral:rRNA from 1 species
GAUGAACGCUGGCGGCGUGCCUAACACAUGCAAGUCGAGCGAUUCUCUUCGGAGAAGAGCGGCGGACGGGUGAGUAACGCGUGGGUAACCUGCCCUGUACACACGGAUAACAUACCGAAAGGUAUGCUAAUACGGGAUAACAUAAGAAAUUCGCAUGUUUUUCUUAUCAAAGCUCCGGCGGUACAGGAUGGACCCGCGUCUGAUUAGCUAGUUGGUGAGGUAACGGCUCACCAAGGCGACGAUCAGUAGCCGACCUGAGAGGGUGAUCGGCCACAUUGGAACUGAGACACGGUCCAAACUCCUACGGGAGGCAGCAGUGGGGAAUAUUGCACAAUGGGCGAAAGCCUGAUGCAGCAACGCCGCGUGAGCGAUGAAGGCCUUCGGUCGUAAGCUCUGUCCUCAAGGAAGAUAAUGACGGUACUUGAGGAGGAAGCCCCGGCGUAACUACGUG